rnacentral:ncRNA from 1 species
CGUGAGAUAAUUCUCUCUAAUAAACUCAAUAAAUAAGUUCGUAACUUCGAGAGAAAGGAUGUUUUCUCACAAAGGGGAUCGCGGUAAUCAGAUCUAAAUGAUUGAUAAUAAAAAACACAAGUCUCCGCAAAAUCGUAAGAUUGAAUAUGGGGGUUGACGUGUGCACAAUGUUGGAAGGUCAAAAAAGGUAGUGUCCUGAUAACUGUGCAACUGAUGAUUGAAGUUCUAUUGAGAGACGAUAGUAACUAUAACGAUUUUAAGAUAACGAAGUUCCUUAUCGAGUUUUGACCCACAAAAAAAUACGUUAACAAUCUAAGUACUAUCUCGAAGUGAAACUCA